CGUUGAGGUGUUGGGAGUAACGUUAGGCUCCCUUACAUUCACAACCAGAUUGUGAAUUGUUGAAGGUUCAGUUCGCCAUUAUAUCGGUGAGUUGAAACUUACGUUGAGGAAAAUAAGUGGGAUAUGUAUCGUGAAAGUAAUUGAAUUUUGUGUUGUUAUGCUUAGGAUUGUUUCGAGGACGUUAGUGAUUAAGGAGCUUCCCUAACUUUGAGGCAAAGGCAAAGGUAAUAAAGGCGGCAAACCGGCGAGGGGCAGGAAGGAAGCGCGAUACCAUAGGAAACGUGUUUUUGCUUCCGCUUGUGGGUUCUUGUGAGGUUUAAAAUGAAUUGAAAUUUAGUUUACAAACAUUUGUUGUAAAUAGUAUUAUUUUAUGUUUUCUUGAAUGUUUAAAAAUCAGGUCUGACUUGAAGAUGUUUUUUUUUUAAAUUGCUUACGUUUUGUUUUAUAUUAAUCAAAGUCUUUACUUGUUAAAAAUUAACGAUCUCGACUUACUUAGAAAAGUUGGGUCGUUACAGUUUUGGUUUUAGUUUUUUCUCGAUUACUUAUCAGAAUGCUUGAUAUCGUUGCAUGUUUUAUUGUUAAAGUAAAUGUUAGAAACAAGUUUUAUGCAGAUAAAGAAAAAUAUUUUUGCAUACAGGAGUUUACAUGUCCACUUAGGAGGUCCCUUGAAGAGAGUCCUAUUUUCCAAUCUUAUUGAGAAAACAAUUUUGGUACAAGAACCUUAUUGAUAUUCUUACCGAGAUUUCUCAAACUGGAAAACAAAACACAUCCCAUACAGACUCCAAGCUCACUUUUUCUUAUUGCAAGAAUCUCUCGGGGGUAAUGCAAAAUUAACGAUGGUUUGUGUCAUUUCUCCGUCACAAAGGUUAAUAUAACAUUGGGUUCAUCCUACCUCGAAGAUUGUUUUUUCUUCUUGAAAUGAAAAUUUAUUUGGGUUGUUUCUGCACCUACAAGAGUGAAAGAUUUAGCAUCUUUGUGGUUUGCCCAACGUGUCUAAAGCUAUAAAUAACAAAGUUGUUGUUAAUGAAGUUGGGCAAGAUGAUGUGAAUCACUUGCAUGAAGUGAUACAGCAGCUCAGGGUACAAUUUUUCAUGUAAUGUUUGCACUUUUUGAGUUGUGAUCUGUGAAUAUGACUAAACUAAGAAGGUCCUCAUUCAAAUUAUCAUAUAAACAUGUAGGAAAGGUUAAUGUGCCAAUUAACAAAGUUGAUGUUGGCGUGCAAACAUCUUGCAAUGAUGAGGCUGCGGUGAAAACCUUAAUAUAUGUACUAGUUGCAAAAUUAGAAAGCAAUUGGAGGUUAGAGAGCAGGAUGGCAGUUCAAAUCUUCAAUUAAUACAUGUGGAUGGUACACUACAGCCUCUGCUAAGAAAUAAAGGAUACAAGUUCCUAAAUUGAGAAAGUUCUUAUUGGGGCUAUCAGAAGAGAAAUGGCACUUGAAGAGUACUCCAACAAGUAAGCAUUUUGACAACCAAUAGGAGAUGAAGAGAUUUUAACUACAAAAUAUUUAGUUGUUAUUAUACAUUAGGUAUUAAUUGAAUUAAGCUCGUUUUAAUAUCAUCAAUUUUGGCGUGAUAAGUUAUAUUGAUUUUUCAUAAACUUUUAAUUUAUCAAAUUGUGCACCUUAAACUUAAAUAACUAAUGUUGUUCGUAGUGUAAGGUAUGUUUCAUUCUCACAAAUCAAUGGAUUUGUAAGUGCGGGUGGAGUUAUUUAAGAGUCAAUUUUGUGCACUAAUCGGUUUAAUUGAUCUAAAAUUUGAUUUUUGUUGGAA